GGAAGUAAAAGUCUAACAAGGUUUCCGUAGGUGAACCUGCGGAAGGAUCAUUAUCGUAGGGCUUCGGCCCUGUCGAGAUAGAACCCUUGCCUUUUUGAGUACCUUUCGUUUCCUCGGCAGCCUCGGCUGCCAAUGGGGACCCCAAAAAACACUUUGCAGUACCUGUAACAGUCUGAACAAACAAACAAAAAUUAAAGCUUUCAACAACGGAUCUCUUGGUUCUG
rnacentral:misc_RNA from 1 species